rnacentral:lncRNA from 1 species
GUACAUAAUCUUGUUCCACAUAAAGUCACAAGAUUCAAUGAGAUACAUGCUUCACAAAUCGUCACAACAGUUCAAAUUCAUUCAUAAUAUGGCCAGAAACUAAAUCACAUAAAAAAAAACAAAUAAAACAAAAUGCAGACAGAGAAGACGAUUUGCAUAUAUGUGAUUCAAUCUAAAGUUUGAAAAAGUUGGGAAUCGAUAUAUAUAUACCGUAGGAAGAGUGUUGAUGCUGUAAGAUAUCAGGAAACAAGUUUUACGGACUGCUCCAUUGC